GACGAACGCUGGCGGCGUGCUUAACACAUGCAAGUCGAACGAUGAAGCCCUUUCGGGGGUGGAUUAGUGGCGAACGGGUGAGUAACACGUGGGUAACCUGCCCUGUACCCUGGGAUAAGCCUUGGAAACGAGGUCUAAUACCGGAUAUGACCUGCUCUCGCAUGGGGGUGGGUGGAAAGUUUUGGCGGUGCAGGAUGGACCCGCGGCCUAUCAGCUUGUUGGUGGGGUGAUGGCCUACCAAGGCGACGACGGGUAGCCGGCCUGAGAGGGCGACCGGCCACACUGGGACUGAGACACGGCCCAGACUCCUACGGGAGGCAGCAGUGGGGAAUAUUGCAUAAUGGGCGAAAGCCUGAUCCAGCGAUGCCGCGUGUGUGAAGAAGGCCUGCGGGUUGUAAAGCA
rnacentral:rRNA from 1 species